rnacentral:tRNA from 1 species
AGCUCAGUGGUAGAGCAGCGGACUCGGCUCGCGGGCUGAGGCUGAAGCUGUUAAAGUGCAAGGUCCACUGUAGCAACCCGUUGGUCACAGGUUCGAACCCUGU